rnacentral:ncRNA from 1 species
AUUUUGGGAGCUAGAGAACUGGCUGAGAUAAACGUGGUACUCGUUUGACCUUUAACCUGAUCUAGGUAAUGCUAGCGUAGGGAAUUUUUUUAUU